GACGAACGCUGGCGGCGCGCUUAACACAUGCAAGUCGAGCGAAGCGGCGGACUGGUGAGUACCACGUGAGUAACCUGCCUUAGACCUUGGGAUAGCCUCUGGAAACCGGGAUUAAUACCAAAUGGUCUAAGAUGGACUCGCGUCCCAUUAGCUAGUUGGUGGGUAACGGCCCACCAAGGCGACGAUGGGUAGCCGGCAUGAGAGGGUGAACGGCGACAGUGGAAGUGGGAAACGGUCCAAAAUAUACGGGAGGGAGGAGUGGGGAAUAGUGCAAAAUGGAGGGAAUGAUGAUGGAGUGACGCUGCGUGAACGAAGAAGGCUGGCGAGACGUAAAGUUCUUUUAUAUGGGAAGCGGUACCAGAAGAAAAAGCCCCGGCUAACUACGUGCCAGCAGCCGCGGUAAUAC
rnacentral:rRNA from 1 species